GCUUUACUGUAACUUGAGAUUGAAAUUGGACUUUAUUUGCGCAGUAUAGGUGGGAGACGUUGAGAAUAUUCUUGCGGGAAUAUUGGAGUCAUCAGUGAGAUACCACUCUUGUAAUGUUAGAUUUCUAACUUUGGAUCAUUAUCUGGUCAAAGGACAGUUUCAGGCGGGCAGUUUGACUGGGGCGGUCGCCUCCCAAACGGUAACGGAGGCGCACAAAGGUUUCCUCUGAACGUGUAGAAAUCGUAUCUAGAGUGUAAAGGCAUAAGGAAGCUUGACUGUGAGACCUACAAGUCGAGCAGGGACGAAAGUCGGUCUUAGUGAUCUGACGGUGCUG
rnacentral:rRNA from 1 species